rnacentral:rRNA from 1 species
GUUGUAUGGUUAAGUGACUAAGCGUACACGGUGGAUGCCUUGGCAGUCAGAGGCGAUGAAAGACGUAGUAACUUGCGAUAAGCCCAGAUUAGGUAGUAACAACCAUUUGAGUCUGGGAUUUCUGAAUGGGGAAACCCACGUGCAUAAGCACGUAUCCUUACCUGAAUACAUAGGGUAAGGAGGCGAACCGGGGGAACUGAAACAUCUAAGUACCCCGAGGAAAAGAAAUCAACCGAGAUUCCGAAAGUAGCGGCGAGCGAAAUUGGACUAGCCCUUAAGCUUUACACGCGUUAGACGAACGGUCUGGAAAGUCCGACGAUACAGGGUGAUAGUCCCGUAGUUGACGACGUGUGUUCAGUGAAAUCGAGUAGGGCGGGACACGUGAUAUCCUGUCUGAAUAUGGGGGGACCAUCCUCCAAGGCUAAAUACUACUGACUGACCGAUAGUGAACCAGUACCGUGAGGGAAAGGCGAAAAGAACCCCUGUGAGGGGAGUGAAAUAGAACCUGAAACCGUGUACGUACAAGCAGUAGGAGCAGGCUUUGUCCUGUGACUGCGUACCUUUUGUAUAAUGGGUCAGCGACUUAUAUUCAGUGGCAAGGUUAACCAUCUAGGGGAGCCGUAGGGAAACCGAGUCUUAACUGGGCGUUCAGUCUCUGGAUAUAGACCCGAAACCAGGUGAUCUAGCCAUGGGCAGGUUGAAGGUUGAGUAACAUCAACUGGAGGACCGAACCGACUAAUGUUGAAAAAUUAGCGGAUGACUUGUGGCUAGGGGUGAAAGGCCAAUCAAACCUGGAGAUAGCUGGUUCUCCCCGAAAGCUAUUUAGGUAGCGCCUCGGACGAAUACUACUGGGGGUAGAGCACUGUUAAGGCUAGGGGGUCAUCCCGACUUACCAACCCUUUGCAAACUCCGAAUACCAGUAAGUACUAUCCGGGAGACACACGGCGGGUGCUAACGUCCGUCGUGGAGAGGGAAACAACCCAGACCGCCAGCUAAGGUCCCAAAUUACUACUAAGUGGGAAACGAUGUGGGAAGGCUCAGACAGCCAGGAUGUUGGCUUAGAAGCAGCCAUCAUUUAAAGAAAGCGUAAUAGCUCACUGGUCGAGUCGGCCUGCGCGGAAGAUGUAACGGGGCUAAGUAGUAAACCGAAGCUGCGGCAAUGUGCUUUUGCACAUUGGGUAGGGGAGCGUUCUGUAAGCGGUUGAAGGUGUGUGGUAACGCAUGCUGGACGUAUCAGAAGUGCGAAUGCUGACAUGAGUAACGAUAAAGGGGGUGAAAAACCUCCUCGCCGGAAGACCAAGGGUUCCUGUCCAACGUUAAUCGGGGCAGGGUAAGUCGACCCCUAAGGCGAGGCCGAAAGGCGUAGUCGAUGGGAAACGGGUUAAUAUUCCCGUACUUCUUACAAUUGCGAUGGGGGGACGGAGAAGGCUAGGUGGGCCUGGCGACGGUUGUCCAGGUUCAAGUGCGUAGGCUUAAGAGUUAGGUAAAUCCGGCUCUUUUUAAGGCUGAGACACGACGUCGAGCAUCUACGGAUGUGAAGUCAUUGAUGCCAUGCUUCCAGGAAAAGCCUCUAAGCUUCAGAUUGUAAGGAAUCGUACCCCAAACCGACACAGGUGGUCGGGUAGAGAAUACCAAGGCGCUUGAGAGAACUCGGGUGAAGGAACUAGGCAAAAUGGUACCGUAACUUCGGGAGAAGGUACGCUCUCGACGGUGAAGUCCCUCGCGGAUGGAGCUAUUGAGAGUCGCAGAUACCAGGUGGCUGCAACUGUUUAUUAAAAACACAGCACUGUGCAAAAUCGUAAGAUGACGUAUACGGUGUGACGCCUGCCCGGUGCCGGAAGGUUAAUUGAUGGGGUUAGACUUCGGUCGAAGCUCUUGAUCGAAGCCCCGGUAAACGGCGGCCGUAACUAUAACGGUCCUAAGGUAGCGAAAUUCCUUGUCGGGUAAGUUCCGACCUGCACGAAUGGAG